rnacentral:rRNA from 1 species
UGGGGAAUAUUGCGCAAUGGGGGAAACCCUGACGCAGCAACGCCGCGUGAAGGAUGAAGGUUUUCGGAUUGUAAACUUCUUUGAUUGGGGACGAAAAAAAUGACGGUACCCAAAAAACAAGCCACGGCUAACUACGUGCCAGCAGCCGCGGUAAUACGUAGGUGGCAAGCGUUGUCCGGAAUUACUGGGUGUAAAGGGCGUGUAGACGGGGAAGUAAGUCAGAUGUGAAAUUCUUGAGCUCAACUCAAGCGCUGCAUCUGAAACUACUACUCUUGAGUGAUGGAGAGGAAAGCGGAAUUCCUAGUGUAGCGGUGAAAUGCGUAGAUAUUAGGAGGAACACCAGUGGCGAAGGCGGCUUUCUGGACAUUAACUGACGUUGAGGCGCGAAAGCGUGGGGAGC